CAGUAGCCGCGGGAAUACAGAGGGUGCAAGCGUUAAUCGGAAUUACUGGGCGUAAAGCGCGCGUAGGUGGUUUGUUAAGUUGGAUGUGAAAUCCCCGGGCUCAACCUGGGAACUGCAUCCAAAACUGGCAAGCUAGAGUAUGGUAGAGGGUGGUGGAAUUUCCUGUGUAGCGGUGAAAUGCGUAGAUAUAGGAAGGAACACCAGUGGCGAAGGCGACCACCUGGACUGAUACUGACACUGAGGUGCGAAAGCGUGGGGAGCAAACAGGAUUAGAUACCCCUGUAGUCCCUGUCUCUUAUAU
rnacentral:rRNA from 1 species